rnacentral:rRNA from 1 species
UAAUACAGAGGGUGCAAACGUUGUUCGGAAUUACUGGGCAUAAAGCGCACGCAGGCGGUCUGGUAAGUGCGGUGUGAAAGCCCCCGGCUCAACCGGGGAACUGCAUCGCAAACUGCCAGACUAGAGGACGGUAGGGGAGACUGGAACUCCUGGUGGAGCGGUGAAAUGCGUAGAUAUCAGGAGGAACACCGGUGGCGAAGGCGAGUCUCUGGUCCGUUUCUGACGCUGAGGUGCGAAAGCUAGGGUAGCGAACGGGAUUAGAUACCCCGGUAGUCCUAGCCGUAAACGAUGGGCACUAGCUAGAGGGGGCCCUGCGCCCGCUCUGGUGUAGCAAAUGUGUUAAGUGCCCCGCCUGGGGAGUAUGGUCGCAAGGCUG